rnacentral:rRNA from 1 species
AGAAUCAACGCUGGCGGCGUGCCUAAUACAUGCAAGUCGAACGCGAAAGUCCCGAAAGGGAUAAGUAGAGUGGCAAACGGGUGAGUAACACGUGGGUGACCUGCCUUCGAGUGGGGGAUAACGUCUCGAAAGGGACGCUAAUACCGCAUGAGCAUCCUGCCUUUGAACAGGUGGAGAUUAAAGCCGGGGAUCGCAAGACCUGGCGCUUGAAGAGGGGCCCGCGUCCGAUUAGCUAGUUGGUGGGGUAACGGCUCACCAAGGCAACGAUCGGUAGCCGGCCUGAGAGGGUGACCGGCCACACUGGGACUGAGACACGGCCCAGACUCCUACGGGAGGCAGCAGUGGGGAAUAUUGCACAAUGGGCGCAAGCCUGAUGCAGCAACGCCGCGUGAGGGACGACGGCCUUCGGGUUGUAAACCUCUUUUAGUCAAGGAAGAAGCGAAAGUGACGGUACUUGCAGAAAAAGCACCGGCUAACUACGUGCCAGCAGCCGC